rnacentral:rRNA from 1 species
AGAGUUUGAUCCUGGCUCAGAUUGAACGCUGGCGGCAUGCCUUACACAUGCAAGUCGAACGGUAACAGCACUUCGGUGGCUGACGAGUGGCGAACGGGUGAGUAAUACAUCGGAACGUGCCCGAGAGUGGGGGAUAACGCAGCGAAAGCUGUGCUAAUACCGCAUACGAUCUACGGAUGAAAGCAGGGGACCGCAAGGCCUUGCGCUCACGGAGCGGCCGAUGGCAGAUUAGGUAGUUGGUGGGAUAAAAGCUUACCAAGCCGACGAUCUGUAGCUGGUCUGAGAGGACGACCAGCCACACUGGGACUGAGACACGGCCCAGACUCCUACGGGAGGCAGCAGUGGGGAAUUUUGGACAAUGGGCGAAAGCCUGAUCCAGCCAUGCCGCGUGCAGGAUGAAGGCCUUCGGGUU